rnacentral:snoRNA from 1 species
UUGUGUUAUGAUGAAAAAAAUUGUCAACAGUUAUCCCUGUCUUAAAGCAUACAUGUGGAUUUUUAUUUAUUAAUUAGACUCUGAACACAA